UGCUCCAGUUUCUCUAGCAGAAUGUCCCCUUAGUAUUAGAGACCGAGAGGCAGACAGACAGGAGUUCCGGCCCUUCGUUGUGAUUUCCAGCUUAGCUUCAAAGGCUUAGGUUGCUCCUUCCUCUUCCCACUUCACGUCACCCCCUACGACUUGCAAACUUCAGUCUAACUCCAGCACCAGACUCAGAGCACAGCUCACAUUGACAGAGGCUCACUAUCCCAGGCUGACAUCAAAUUCACAAUCUUCCCUGACUCCUCUUGAGUGAAGGAUAUUUGCUUCUUCUACGACAAGACCAAAAUGAAGAGGCAGACCGUGGGCAUCUGGCACUGUGGUUCCUGCAGGAAAACAGUGGCUGGUGUUGCCUGGACCUGCAUUACCACGUCUGCUGUCACAGUCAACUCCAUCAGAAUGGAGGAGUAGAAAAGCCAGCAGAGUCAUUACCACUUGAGACAUCCCUUGGCUACAACUUCAGGAGGAAGAAAGAGUACUUCUGUUCUGAAGGCAGAAGAGCCGCUUUGAUCAAAGGCAGAGGGUAAUAGUCACAUGAGAAAGACUGAAACACAUCAGCAGAAAUGGCUCAGAACAGUGCAAAGCUGGGCGUUAGACCCUGGGAACCUUUGACCUAACCUCCUGACCUGACCCUAGGCAAGACUUUAUCCAGGCAUUUCUCUAAGGGUCUCCCUGUAGCCCCAGCUGGCCUGGAACUCACUUUGCAGACCAGGCUGGCCUUGAACUCACAGAGUUCCACCUAUGCAUUCAGUGAUGUUAAGAUCGACCCGAUCAUCCAUGGCCAGUCCACACUGAGCAUGCCUCCCCCUUCCCAGGUCUAGGAUGAACAAAGAAGCCAUGAAUGAAGCUGUAACGUCCUCAAUUCUGGGACUGAGGUGAAUCUCUCAGGAAAGCAGCAAUGGAACUGUUUCCCACGCCCAAGUUCCAAGUUCGUGUCAUUAGGAAGAUAUGAAUAUGGACUUGAAAUCCUUAGGUCAUUCUAUCUACGUGGGAUAUUUCUGGACUCGGUAUGGAAUUGUCCCACGAUCACUGGUUUCAUUGUGAUGUUGUGAUUAGCAGCGAGAAGGAGAAAGUAGAACACUGAGCUGUCCUCUGGUCUCUGUAGCCGUGUGAAACAAAACGCAGCUUUCUCCUCUGGCGUUGUUAUUUUAGCCUUUUCUCCCAGGACUGUUUCUCAACCUUAAUUAUUGUGCCCAGCCCUUCCUAAAGGACUGUUCUCAUGACUCGCUCAGGCAUCUAUGCCCAUCCACACUCUGCACGUUCUUCCAAUUGCAUAAGGAAAACUGAUGGUUAUUUUCUAACAACUAUCAGAUGCUUUCUUAUAUAGCUUAAUUUCUGAUGCUCAUCCUAUUACCUUUUUCUCCAAAAUAAAUGAUUGCAAUACCUGUAAAUAUUCUUAACCAAAAAAACUUUUCCAUACUUAAACAUCUAUGUGUGUUGUUCCUUUAGAUCUCAUUCAACUUUUCUAAAGUUCACUACUUAGGCCAAAGUGGACAGAGAACAAACAAAAGUCCUUAAUAAUGGUGUACUAAAACCUAACCACCCUAAGGAUAAUGAAGAGUUUGUCUCUUGGGAUGAGUCCUUUUCUGAGUAUUGUAGUUACAUUUGUAUUUUUAAAUCAUACUUUCUUUUCCAUGAUAAUAUGUUGCUAGCUCACAUAUGAAUAGACACACACAUAGAUUUUGGAUUCUCACAUUAUACACUUUCUAUUUCCUAACCUUGAAAUGUAAUAUUGACUACUAUGUCUUUUAAAAAUAUUUUUAUUUUAUGUGUAUGAGUAU